GUCCAGCCAGUAUGGUGGAUGUGACCAUCGGCUUGUAACCGAUUGGGCUCGGGUUCGAAUCCCGAAUAGGGCA
rnacentral:tRNA from 1 species